CCGGCUAGUCGCGCCCCCCCGCCUACCAAUUCGCGUGCAACAGACAAACUCGCGCCUCUUUCUCUCGUUGUCUCUCUGAUAGUAUGCUUCAACAGCUGCUGCUUCCCGAAUCCAUGGAAGUCAGAUUCCUAGCUCUGUCUCGCCCUUUACAACUCCGCCCUUCUCCCGCUAUCAAAACCCGUCUUCCAGUUCCAAGGAAACGCUUCUUCCUUUAUCCUAUUUCUCUAUUUCCUUCUUCUAUUUCCAGCAUUUCCAUCUUCUCUGCCUCUCUUCCCUCUUUCACAGCCCCUUGCAUUCGUCCUCCCCAAUCUCAUCAUGCCAGCGAACCAUCCCUCGACGAAGAGCCUCUCCCUCCUUUCUCCGGCGAUUCUGCCAGCAUUUGGGGACAGAUGAAUGAGAUUGUGAGGUUCGCGGGACCUGCUGUCGGGCUCUGGAUCUGUGGUCCCCUCAUGAGUCUCAUCGACACCGCUGUCAUCGGCCAGGGUAGCUCCUUGGAGCUAGCUGCUUUAGGGCCUGGGACGGUCGUCUGCGACAAUGCGAGUUACGUGUUCAUGUUCCUAUCAAUUGCUACUUCCAACAUGGUUGCUACUUCCCUUGCCAAAAAGGAUAAAAAUGAAGUGCAGCAUCAGAUAUCCAUGUUGCUGUUUGUUGCCUUCACCUGUGGUUUGAUGAUGCUUUUCUUUACGAAAUUCAUGGGUACACAGAUCUUAACCGCUUUUACUGGGCCAAAGAACUUGCACAUUGUACCUGCUGCAAACACAUAUGUUCAGAUUCGAGGCUUAGCGUGGCCUGCUAUUCUUGUUGGACUGGUUGCUCAAAGUGCUAGUCUAGGUAUGAAAGAUUCUUGGGGACCUCUGAAGGCUUUGUUCGUUGCUAGUCUUGUAAAUGGGUUUGGUGAUAUUCUACUCUGCAGCUUUCUAGGCUAUGGUAUAGCUGGCGCUGCUUGGGCAACAAUGGUAUCACAGGUCAUUGCAGCUUUUAUGAUGAUCGAGACUUUGAAUAAGACUGGCUUUUAUGCUUUUGCUGUAUCUGUUCCAUCACCUAUUGAACUGCUACAAAUAUUUGAGAUUGCUGCUCCAGUGUUCAUAACGAUGAUAACAAAGGUGGCUUUCUAUUCUCUUCUUACAUUUUUUGCUACAUCUAUGGGGACAAUAACCGGUGCAGCCCAUCAGGUUAUGAUUGGGGUAUACUGCAUGUGUACUGUAUGGGGCGAGCCUCUCUCUCAAACUGCUCAAUCAUUUAUGCCAGAGUUGAUAUAUGGAGUAAAUCGUAAUCAAAAGAAGGCACGAGUGCUAUUGCAGUCACUUGUAAUAAUUGGAGUAUUAAGUGGACUAUUAUUGGGAACCAUUGGGACUUCAGUGCCUUGGUUCUUCCCAUAUCUGUUUACAAAUGAUCAUGAGGUUGUUGGAAAGAUGCACAAAGUGUUGCUUCCAUAUUUUGUUGCCUUGAUUGUGACUCCUUCGACCCAUAGCCUUGAAGGAACAUUGAUGGCUGGCAGGGAUCUUAGAUUUCUAAGUUUGUCAAUGACUGGAUGCUUCACUUUUGGUGGCCUUUUACUAAUGCUCGUGAGCGGUAAAGGGUGUGGUUUGCCAGGUUGUUGGUGGGCCCUCGCAGGAUUUCAAUGGGUAACUUUGUCUCUCCAUAUCCAAUUAUAGAGUUUUGUAAGCCUACGUGUGUAAAAGGAAUCCCAUAUCUACUACUAAAUGCCAUCAUGGCACACAGGCUCGCUUUUCCCUUGCUUUGCAAAGGCUUACUUCUCACAAUGGUGUGCUAUACUCUGAUGAGUUCAACCAGCAGCAACUGAACAAGCUGAAGGCUGCAUAGAGGAGUUUCAUCUGCAUUUAUGAGAUAAGUAUUGAUAGUUUCAGGGGCAAUCUAACAUGGCCAUAACAUCUUAUUCAAUCCAUCAUCUAUUGGCUUUGAUGGUCAAUGCUGCCUUCAUCUAAAUCAGCCCUUACAUUGAACUCGUGGCUUAGGGCGUCACCAGUGUCAAAGAAAGCAGUUCGAUGCAAUCACUUGCAGUGUCCAAAAGCCCCGAUGGUAAACACUACAGCAAAUUGGGUAAUUUUUACUUUCUGAAAUGGGCUUUGUUUCUGCCAUUUUAAUUUUUCAUCAUCUGUAAUUCCACCCAAAUUGAUACAAAGGAAAAUCACAUCUACUUAGUUGGAUAUCAAAUUAUUAUUCAUAUAGAAAUUUUAGACUA